AGCGGAUUAGUGUAAUGGUUAUCACGGGAGACUUUGGAUCUCCAGACGUGAGUUCGAAUCUCACAUCCGCCG
rnacentral:tRNA from 1 species